rnacentral:rRNA from 1 species
UACGUAGGGGGCAAGCGUUGUCCGGAAUUAUUGGGCGUAAAGAGCGCGUAGGCGGUCCGGUAAGUCGGUUGUGAAAGUCGGGGGCUCAACCCUCGGAUGCCGAUCGAUACUGUCGGGCUAGAGUCCGGAAGAGGCGAGCGGAAUUCCUGGUGUAGCGGUGAAAUGCGCAGAUAUCAGGAGGAACACCAAUGGCGAAGGCAGCUCGCUGGGACGGUACUGACGCUGAGGCGCGAAAGCGUGGGGAGCAAACAGG